UUGUGGAGGAGGACGCCGAAGGUGGGGCUAAUGACUGGGGUGAAGUCGUAACAAGGUAGCCGUACCGGAAGGUGCGGCUGGAUCACCUCCUAACAGGGAGACAACAAAAUGUUUAUUAUUAUUAUUUUGUCACCUUAGGUCGAUCGGUAUCUCACAUUCUUCAUUCAUGGAGGAUUUCAUUUCCUAAGUUUUUCUAGGUCACACCCAUUAUUUUUCCUGGGCCAUUAGCUCAGGUGGUUAGAGCGCACCCCUGAUAAGGGUGAGGUCCCUGGUUCAAGUCCAGGAUGGCCCAUAUCUCUAUGUUGGGGGUAUAGCUCAGUUGGUAGAGCGCCUGCUUUGCAAGCAGGAUGUCAGCGGUUCGAGUCCGCUUACCUCCACUGAUUACCACCUCUUCCAUGUUUAUAUGGUAGGAAAUGUUUUGAGUUGUGAUCAAAUUCUGAACGAAUCUAGCUUCUUAAUUAAUUCAUUAAGAUGCUGGACUCAUUGAAUUAAAUUCAUUGUUUUCAGAGAACCUUGACAACUGCAUAGAUUAUUUUUAAAGACAAUAAGCAUCUUUAUUGAUGCAGAUUUAUUAUUUGUGCGAAUGCAUUAAUAACAAUUCUAUUAAGCUGAUGCUUCAAUUUUGAAGUUAUUGGUCAAGCUACAA
rnacentral:misc_RNA from 1 species